CCAUGCAAGUCUCAGUACAAACUGUAUUAAAGUGAAACCGCAAAAGGCUCAGUAAACCAGUCAUGAUUCACUCGAGUAUACAUGACUGUCUUUGGAUAACUGUGGUAAUCCUAGAGCUAAUACAUGCAAUCAAGUCCCGACCAGUCUGACUGGGAAGGACGCUUUUAUUAGAUCAAGACCAAUCGCCCGGUUCGUCCGGGCGUUGCCUUGGUGACUCUAGGUAACACAUCAGAUCGCAUGGUCUCAGCACCGGCGACUUAUCCUUCAAAUGCCUGACUUAUCAACUGUCGAUGGUAGACUCUAUGUCUACCAUGGUUGUAACGGGUAACGGGGAAUCAGGGUUCGAUUCCGGAGAGGGAGCCUGAGAAACGGCUACCACAUCCAAGGAAGGCAGCAGGCACGCAAAUUACCCACUCCCGGCACGGGGAGGUAGUGACAAAAAAUAACGAUACGGGACUCUUAUGAGGCCCCGUAAUCGGAAUGAGUACACUUUAAAUCCUUUAACAAGGAUCCAUUGAAGGGCAAGUCUGGUGCCAGCAGCCGCGGUAAUUCCAGCUUCAAUAGCGUAUAUUAAAGUUGUUGCGGUUAAAAAGCUCGUAGUUGGUUCUGCGUGCUACGCUGUCGGUUCGCCGCCUGCCGGUGUAACUGGCAUGCCGUGGCAUGUCCUGUCGGUGGCGUGCGGGAGCCUUGUCAGGUGACGGCCCGUGCCCAAAGCUCGGUGUCCGGAGGCCGGAGGUCCCACCCGUGCGCCUACUCUAUCCUACCUAGGUGCUCUUUACCGAGUGUCGAGGUAGGCCGACACGUUUACUUUGAACAAAUUAGAGUGCUCAAAGCAGGCUGAAAUCUCUGCCUGAAUAGUGGUGCAUGGAAUAAUAAAACAGGACCUUGGUUCUAUUUUGUUGGUUCUUAGGAACACAAGGUAAUGAUCAAUACGGACAGGCGGGGGCAUUCGUAUUGCGACGUUAGACUUGGCAAAUGCUUUCGCGGUGAAAUUCUUGGAUCGUCGCAAGACGCACAAGAGCGAAAGCAUUUGCCAAGUAUGUCUUGAUUGAUCAAGAACGAAAGUUAGAGGUUCGAAGGCGAUCAGAUACCGCCCUAGUUCUAACCAUAAACGAUGCCAGCCAGCGAUCCGCCGAUGUUCCUCCGAUGACUCGGCGGGGAGCUUCUUCCCGGGAAACCAAAGCUUUUGGGUUCCGGGGGAAGUAUGGUUGCAAAGCUGAAACUUAAAGGAAUUGACGGAAGGGCACCACCAGGAGUGGAGCCUGCGGCUUAAUUUGACUCAACACGGGAAACCUCACCAGGCCAGGACAUUGGAAGGAUUGACAGAUUGAUAGCCUCUUUCUUGAUUCAGUGGGUAGUGGUGGCAUGGUCCGUUCUUAGUUGGUGG
rnacentral:rRNA from 1 species